AGUCCCCAGUCGCCUUCCUGGGAGGUUUGGUUCGUAUUGACGGUUCUCAAAGCAAAGAAAACGUGGAGAGACAGUGCUGCGCGCGGCUUGGAUCUCCGUCAAUACGGUACUAGCGGGAGCUUCCGAGGUCAACCUAGGGUCCACGGGGACCCUCCUAGUGGACAUGCGGGGAUUGGAGGUGGAGUCCUUGCUGUGCAACCCGAUCCGGUCCAUCCAGCCUGGUCUUAGCUCAACUCUGCAUUCUUAUGGCGGAGGAAAGCUAAGAUAGAGACAGCUGGGACCCGCGGAAUUUGAGGCGCGCGCUGGGAUCUUACGUGCGCAGAGGCCGGACCGCAGAGUAGAAGAUACAUAUGUAGAAGAAACAUCAAUCAGUCAAAUAUUUUAAUGCUCAUAAGACAUGCCAUUCCAGGGCUUCCUAGAAAAACAGUAUUAUCGUAUUUUGUUCCCGGAGGUGCAGGCGAGUGCCUGGUCUACGGGUGUUUACAAUCAUCACCGGGCACCCACAAGAGACCCUGAACUUAGAAUAUUUCCGCGGUAGGAGUUCCGCCUCGUCCUUCCAGGGGAUACUGACGACUCGCUGGGUUCUCGCCUUCCAAGUGCUGGAGGGGGGAAGUAGGGCCACCCGGGGUAGAAACCUAACGCCAGAAACCUUCCAGCGCCUUAUCAGUUGGUGGAAUUUUCGUGGCAGACAGUCGCGCUCUACCUAAGUCGUAGAAGAAAAGACACCUUG
rnacentral:lncRNA from 10 species